CUACAAUCUUGCUUUCUCCUAUUGAGCAGCAGCAAAAUGUCUUUUAUCAUUUGAGGCAUAAAAUAACUCCAGUGAAAGAGAACUCCAUGGAAAGGACUACGCCCUGCUCUCCUUCCAUUCACUAUUUGCCCUUCAAACCACAAGGAGCCUGAGGUGAUGAUAUUUGCAUGGGACACAAAAUAAUUUGAAUUACUCGAAGAUAGAGACUAGCCUGAAGAAUAUCAGAAGGACCUUGAGAAAGGAGGUGCUGAGGGAGUGUGAUGCCAAAUUAAAUUCUGCUCUUCUCAAAUGCCAGGUAGACAGGAGGAAGGCAGAGGAGAUUUUUUGAACUACAGCAUCAACACAGGAGCAAAAUAUAUCACAUGCAGAAAAGCUUACAAUAAAACAACAUAAUGAGGACUUCACAGUCAGGCUGCUCUGCACUUGAGAUCCUUGUCAGAUCUGCCUGCAUCUCUUCUAAACUUUUAUUGAUGCAAUACAUAUGAAUGCUGGAAAAUUAAUAUUUAGAUUGUACUGCAAACUCUUCCAGUUACUUGAGCAGCAUGUCAUUCAUCACUGUGACUUCUUGUUUAAAAUCUCUGGCACUUACAUCACUAUCUUUCAGGGGGGCUUUUGUUGUUGUUCCUGGAGAUAAGUUUUUUUUGGCUCUGGCAUCUCAUUAACCUGAUUUAGAGAUUCUCCUACCUCUGCUCUUGCUGCAAAAUGGAAUUCACCAAUGCUCAUGCAGGAGAUGAUUAGGGAUUCUCUUUGAGUUUGUCCCAACAUAACUGCCUAAUAUGACUAAAAAGAAAGAUAUAAAAAGUAUUUCAAGUCCUCAGAAAUGAAUUCAAAAGAAUAUGAAUAUCGGGGCCUUGGUUAGUAGCAGACAGUGCAUGGCUACCAGGAUAAUAGAAAUCACUCAGUUUCCCUAGGAUGGGCACAAGUACAACGACAUAACCAUUGCCUUAUAUCAGAGCAAAUAGUUCCAGGAAAAAGGAACAAGUAAAAGAUAACCUUAAUGCCAGUAAAACAGUCUCUACAAGGAAUUUUAUCUGUUCAUAAAUAAAUAAAUAGAGAUGUAUUUUCCUUUCUCACUAAAAUACCUAUAAAGGCAUAAUAAAAUUGUUGGUAACAACAGACAAGGAGAAGGCCGAGGUACUCAACAAUCUUUUUGCCUUGGUCUUCCCUGGUCAUCACACAGCCCUAGUUAAAUUAGAAGGAAGGAACUGGGGAAGCAAUGACCCUUGUGCUGUAAGUAAAAAUCUGGUUCGUGACCACCUAAAGAAUAUGGACAUUAAUGAGUCUAUGGAUCCUGAUGAGAAGCAUCCCAGGGUCCUGAGGGAAUUGGCUGAUGUAGUUGCCAAGCCACUCUCAAGGAUAUUUUAAAAGUCAUGGCAAUCAGGUGAAGCCCCUGGUGACUGGAAAAAGGCAACAUCACACCCACUUUUAAGAAGGGUAAAAAGGAUGACCCUGAGAACUACUGACCUGUCAGUCCCAUCUCUAUGCUGGGAAAGACCAUGGAAGCUAUGCUAACACACAUGGAAGGCAGAGAGGUGAUACAGGAGAACAAGCAUAGCUUUACCAAGGGCAAAUCCUGCUCAAUCAACCUUGUGGACUUCUAUGAUGAUGUAACUGAAUCAAAGGAUACAGGAAGAUCCACUGAUGUCAUCUAUCCAGACUUCAGUACGGCCUUUGACAUGGUAUCCCACAACAUUCUUCUCUCCAAAAUGGAAAGAUAUGGAUUUGAUGA